AUGAACCACAAAAUCAAGUUUUACUUCAAUCCAUCCACCUGGCUAACUACAAGGAAAAAUGAUAUUUAUUGGGCCACAACAAAAUCCAAAAGUAAUCUAUCCACCAAAUUAAAAAGGAAAAGUCAACAUUAUUCUACCAAGCAAAGAAGAAAAAAGCUAAAUCAUUUUACUGUCAUAAAGUUGGAUUUGUUGGUGUUUCUUCUUUUACACCUCCUACCCCCUGAAACCUCUGGAAUAAAAAAAACACCUCUCAACAAACAAAUGGAUUAUGUUGAGCCCGACAAUGAUGACUCAACAUGCAUGGGCACUGGAGCAAUAUGA
rnacentral:rRNA from 1 species